rnacentral:rRNA from 1 species
UGGGGAAUAUUGCACAAUGGGCGGAAGCCUGAUGCAGCAACGCCGCGUGCGGGAUGACGGCCUUCGGGUUGUAAACCGCUUUCGCCUGUGACGAAGCGUGAGUGACGGUAAUGGGUAAAGAAGCACCGGCUAACUACGUGCCAGCAGCCGCGGUGAUACGUAGGGUGCGAGCGUUGUCCGGAUUUAUUGGGCGUAAAGGGCUCGUAGGUGGUUGAUCGCGUCGGAAGUGUAAUCUUGGGGCUUAACCCUGAGCGUGCUUUCGAUACGGGUUGACUUGAGGAAGGUAGGGUAGAAUGGAAUUCCUGGUGGAGCGGUGGAAUGCGCAGAUAUCAGGAGGAACACCAGUGGCGAAGGCGGUUCUCUGGGCCUUUCCUGACGCUGAGGAGCGAAAGCGUGGGGAGCGAACA